rnacentral:rRNA from 1 species
UGGGGAAUUUUGGACAAUGGACGCAAGUCUGAUCCAGCCAUUCCGCGUGCAGGACGAAGGCCUUCGGGUUGUAAACUGCUUUUGUACGGAACGAAAAAGCUCUUACUAAUACUAGGAGUCCAUGACGGUACCGUAAGAAUAAGCACCGGCUAACUACGUG